rnacentral:rRNA from 1 species
GACGAACGCUGGCGGCGUGCCUAAUACAUGCAAGUAGAACGCUGAAGCUUGGUGCUUGCACCGAGCGGAUGAGUUGCGAACGGGUGAGUAACGCGUAGGUAACCUGCCUGGUAGCGGGGGAUAACUAUUGGAAACGAUAGCUAAUACCGCAUAACAGUAGAUGUUGCAUGACAUUUGCUUAAAAGGUGCAAUUGCAUCACUACCAGAUGGACCUGCGUUGUAUUAGCUAGUUGGUGGGGUAACGGCUCACCAAGGCGACGAUACAUAGCCGACCUGAGAGGGUGAUCGGCCACACUGGGACUGAGACACGGCCCAGACUCCUACGGGAGGCAGCAGUAGGGAAUCUUCGGCAAUGGACGGAAGUCUGACCGAGCAACGCCGCGUGAGUGAAGAAGGUUUUCGGAUCGUAAAGCUCUGUUGUAAGAGAAGAACGAGUGUGAGAGUGGAAAGUUCACGCUGUGACGGUAUCUUACCAGAAAGGGACGGCUAACUACGUGCCAGCAGCCGCGGUAAUACGUAGGUCCCGAGCGUUGUCCGGAUUUAUUGGGCGUAAAGCGAGCGCAGGCGGUUAGAUAAGUCUGAAGUUAAAGGCUGUGGCUUAACCAUAGUACGCUUUGGAAACUGUUUAACUUGAGUGCAAGAGGGGAGAGUGGAAUUCCAUGUGUAGCGGUGAAAUGCGUAGAUAUAUGGAGGAACACCGGUGGCGAAAGCGGCUCUCUGGCUUGUAACUGACGCUGAGGCUCGAAAGCGUGGGGAGCAAACAGG